UCCUGAGAAUAGAUUCAAUAAUGUGACCAAAUUGCAAACUCACUUUCUACCUCCACCUGCCUUUCAAACAUUCAGAACUGCAUGUGAAGAAGACAUCUUGAGCCUAGGUAGUGGGCCUUCUGAAGAACUGAAGCCAUCAUGCCUUGAGAGGAACGAACAUAUGGACAGUGAUGAUGGACAGAUGGAGCAUGAAUCUAUCAAUCCACUUCAUUCAGAAGAAAAUUCAGAUGUUCUUGUGACAAAAAGCGUCUCAGAAGAUAUAUUGUAUCAUAAUGC